rnacentral:rRNA from 1 species
GACGAACGCUGGCGGCGUGCCUAACACAUGCAAGUCGAACGGACCUUGCGGGCGGAACCCUUCGGGGGGAAGCCUGCGCUGGUUAGUGGCGGACGGGUGAGUAACACGUGAGCAACCUGCCUUUCAGAGGGGGAUAACAUUCCGAAAGGGAUGCUAAUACCGCAUAACGUAGUGGAGUCGCAUGGCUCUAUUACCAAAGAUUUAUCGCUGAGAGAUGGGCUCGCGGCCGAUUAGGUAGUUGGAGAGGUAAUGGCUCCCCAAGCCGACGAUCGGUAGCCGGACUGAGAGGUUGAACGGCCACAUUGGGACUGAGACACGGCCCAGACUCCUACGGGAGGCAGCAGUGGGGAAUAUUGCACAAUGGGCGAAAGCCUGAUGCAGCGACGCCGCGUGAGGGAAGACGGUCUUCGGAUUGUAAACCUCUGUCUUCGGUGACGAAACAAGACGGUAGCCGAGGAGGAAGCCACGGCUAACUACGUGCCAGCAGCCG